rnacentral:rRNA from 1 species
GACGGGGCCCGCACAAGCGGUGGAGUAUGUGGUUAAUUCGACGCAACGCGCAGAACCUUACCUAGACUUGACAUCCCGGGGAUUUUCUGGAAACAGAGAAGUGCUUUAGCAAUAAAGAACCCGGUGACAGGCGCUGCAUGGCUGUCGUCAGCUCGUGUCGUGAGAUGUUGGGUUAAGUCCCGCAACGAGCGCAACCCUCGCCUUUAGCUGCCAGCAUUCAGUUGGGCACUCUAGAGGGACUGCCGGUGUCAAACCGGAGGAAGGUGGGGAUGACGUCAAGUCCUCAUGGCCUUUAUGUCUAGGGCUACACACGUACUACAAUGGCCGGUACAAAGGGCAGCCACUCAGCGAUGAGGCGCUAAUCCCAUAAAGCCGGUCUCAGUCCGGAUCGCAGGCUGCAACUCGCCUCCGUGAAGGCGGAAUCGCUAGUAAUCGCGGAUCAGCAGGCCGCGGUGAAUACGUUCCCGGGCCUU